rnacentral:rRNA from 1 species
CCCUUAGAUGUCCUGGGCCGCACGCGCGCUACACUGAUGCAUUCAACGAGUAUUUCCUUGGCCGAGAGGCCUGGGCAAUCUUUUAAACCUGCAUCGUGAUAGGGAUAGAUUAUUGCAAUUAUUAAUCUUGAACGAGGAAUUCCUAGUAAACGCAAAUCAUCAAUCUGCAUUGAUUACGUCCCUGCCCUUUGUACACACCGCCCGUCGCACCUACCGAUUGGAUGGUCCGGUGAAGCCUCGGGAUUGUGGUUCUUGCCGCUUUAUUGUGGCGUGACCGCGAGAACUUGUCUAAACCUUAUCAUCUAGAGGAAGGUGAAGUCGUAACA